CCUACGGGAGGCAGCAGUGAGGAAUAUUGGUCAAUGGACGAGAGUCUGAACCAGCCAAGUAGCGUGAAGGAUGACUGCCCUAUGGGUUGUAAACUUCUUUUAUAUGGGAAUAAAAUGUUCCACGUGUGGGAUUUUGUAUGUACCAUAUGAAUAAGGAUAGGCUAACUCCGUGCCAGCAGCCGCGGUAAUACGGAGGAUCCGAGCGUUAUCCGGAUUUAUUGGGUUUAAAGGGAGCGUAGGUUGAUUGUUAAGUCAGUUGUGAAAGUUUGCGGCUCAACCGUAAAAUUGCAGUUGAAACUGGCAGUCGUGAGUACAGUAGAGGUGGGCGGAAUUCGUGGUGUAGCGGUGAAAUGCUUAGAUAUCACGAAGAACUCCGAUUGCGAAGGCAGCUCACUGGACUGCAACUGACACUGAGGCUCGAAAGUGUGGGUAUCAAACAGGAUUAGAUACCCCAGUAGUC
rnacentral:rRNA from 1 species